rnacentral:rRNA from 1 species
AGCGUACACGGUGGAUGCCCUGGCAGUCAGAGGCGAUGAAGGACGUGCUAAUCUGCGAUAAGCGUCGGUAAGGUGAUAUGAACCGUUAUAACCGGCGAUUUCCGAAUGGGGAAACCCAGUGUGUUUCGACACACUAUCAUUAACUGAAUCCAUAGGUUAAUGAGGCGAACCGGGGGAACUGAAACAUCUAAGUACCCCGAGGAAAAGAAAUCAACCGAGAUUCCCCCAGUAGCGGCGAGCGAACGGGGAGCAGCCCAGAGCCUGAAUCAGUGUGUGUGUUAGUGGAAGCGUCUGGAAAGGCGCGCGAUACAGGGUGACAGCCCCGUACACAAAAAUGCACAUGCUGUGAGCUCGAUGAGUAGGGCGGGACACGUGGUAUCCUGUCUGAAUAUGGGGGGACCAUCCUCCAAGGCUAAAUACUCCUGACUGACCGAUAGUGAACCAGUACCGUGAGGGAAAGGCGAAAAGAACCCCGGCGAGGGGAGUGAAAAAGAACCUGAAACCGUGUACGUACAAGCAGUGGGAGCCUCUUUUAUGGGGUGACUGCGUACCUUUUGUAUAAUGGGUCAGCGACUUAUAUUCUGUAGCAAGGUUAACCGAAUAGGGGAGCCGAAGGGAAACCGAGUCUUAACUGGGCGUUAAGUUGCAGGGUAUAGACCCGAAACCCGGUGAUCUAGCCAUGGGCAGGUUGAAGGUUGGGUAACACUAACUGGAGGACCGAACCGACUAAUGUUGAAAAAUUAGCGGAUGACUUGUGGCUGGGGGUGAAAGGCCAAUCAAACCGGGAGAUAGCUGGUUCUCCCCGAAAGCUAUUUAGGUAGCGCCUCGUGAAUUCAUCUCCGGGGGUAGAGCACUGUUUCGGCAAGGGGGUCAUCCCGACUUACCAACCCGAUGCAAACUGCGAAUACCGGAGAAUGUUAUCACGGGAGACACACGGCGGGUGCUAACGUCCGUCGUGAAGAGGGAAACAACCCAGACCGCCAGCUAAGGUCCCAAAGUCAUGGUUAAGUGGGAAACGAUGUGGGAAGGCCCAGACAGCCAGGAUGUUGGCUUAGAAGCAGCCAUCAUUUAAAGAAAGCGUAAUAGCUCACUGGUCGAGUCGGCCUGCGCGGAAGAUGUAACGGGGCUAAACCAUGCACCGAAGCUGCGGCAGCGACGCUUAUGCGUUGUUGGGUAGGGGAGCGUUCUGUAAGCCUGUGAAGGUGUGCUGUGAGGCAUGCUGGAGGUAUCAGAAGUGCGAAUGCUGACAUAAGUAACGAUAAAGCGGGUGAAAAGCCCGCUCGCCGGAAGACCAAGGGUUCCUGUCCAACGUUAAUCGGGGCAGGGUGAGUCGACCCCUAAGGCGAGGCCGAAAGGCGUAGUCGAUGGGAAACAGGUUAAUAUUCCUGUACUUGGUGUUACUGCGAAGGGGGGACGGAGAAGGCUAUGUUGGCCGGGCGACGGUUGUCCCGGUUUAAGCGUGUAGGCUGGUUUUCCAGGCAAAUCCGGAAAAUCAAGGCUGAGGCGUGAUGACGAGGCACUACGGUGCUGAAGCAACAAAUGCCCUGCUUCCAGGAAAAGCCUCUAAGCAUCAGGUAACAUCAAAUCGUACCCCAAACCGACACAGGUGGUCAGGUAGAGAAUACCAAGGCGCUUGAGAGAACUCGGGUGAAGGAACUAGGCAAAAUGGUGCCGUAACUUCGGGAGAAGGCACGCUGAUAUGUAGGUGAAGUCCCUCGCGGAUGGAGCUGAAAUCAGUCGAAGAUACCAGCUGGCUGCAACUGUUUAUUAAAAACACAGCACUGUGCAAACACGAAAGUGGACGUAUACGGUGUGACGCCUGCCCGGUGCCGGAAGGUUAAUUGAUGGGGUUAGCGCAAGCGAAGCUCUUGAUCGAAGCCCCGGUAAACGGCGGCCGUAACUAUAACGGUCCUAAGGUAGCGAAAUUCCUUGUCGGGUAAGUUCCGACCUGCACGAAUGGCGUAAUGAUGGCCAGGCUGUCUCCACCCGAGACUCAGUGAAAUUGAACUCGCUGUGAAGAUGCAGUGUACCCGCGGCAAGACGGAAAGACCCCGUGAACCUUUACUAUAGCUUGACACUGAACAUUGAGCCUUGAUGUGUAGGAUAGGUGGGAGGCUUUGAAGUGUGGACGCCAGUCUGCAUGGAGCCGACCUUGAAAUACCACCCUUUAAUGUUUGAUGUUCUAACGUGGACCCGUGAUCCGGGUUGCGGACAGUGUCUGGUGGGUAGUUUGACUGGGGCGGUCUCCUCCUAAAGAGUAACGGAGGAGCACGAAGGUUGGCUAAUCCUGGUCGGACAUCAGGAGGUUAGUGCAAUGGCAUAAGCCAGCUUGACUGCGAGCGUGACGGCGCGAGCAGGUGCGAAAGCAGGUCAUAGUGAUCCGGUGGUUCUGAAUGGAAGGGCCAUCGCUCAACGGAUAAAAGGUACUCCGGGGAUAACAGGCUGAUACCGCCCAAGAGUUCAUAUCGACGGCGGUGUUUGGCACCUCGAUGUCGGCUCAUCACAUCCUGGGGCUGAAGUAGGUCCCAAGGGUAUGGCUGUUCGCCAUUUAAAGUGGUACGCGAGCUGGGUUUAGAACGUCGUGAGACAGUUCGGUCCCUAUCUGCCGUGGGCGCUGGAGAACUGAGGGGGGCUGCUCCUAGUACGAGAGGACCGGAGUGGACGCAUCACUGGUGUUCGGGUUGUCAUGCCAAUGGCACUGCCCGGUAGCUAAAUGCGGAAGAGAUAAGUGCUGAAAGCAUCUAAGCACGAAACUUGCCCCGAGAUGAGUUCUCCCUGACUCCUUGA